UUCUCUGUGGCACAAUGGAUCAGUGCAUCUGGCUGUUUACCAUAAGCUUGCAGGUUCAAGCCCACACAGAGACA